CGGGCGGGGGCGAGGCCGGAGCCGCGGCGGCGCCGGAGUGUCCGCGCGUGUCUCCGUCUCUGAGCGUGUCUCUGAGUCUCCGCACGUCUGUCCCCGCGUGCGCCUCGGGGGGAACCCCCGCGUUCGCCCCAGAUCCUCGCGUCCUGGUCGUUCCCGCGCCCCCGCGUCUUCGUCUCUGAUCCUGGUCCCUGGAGGGGUCCGGCACGCUCGCGUCCCUGAAUGUCUGUCCCCCUGUCCGCCCAUCCCGGGGUCUGUCCGUCUUCUCCCUUCCUCUCCCCUCCGUGGCUCCGCCGGUUCUCUUCCGUCUCCGGGAAGCCCUCCCCGGGGCCUCGGUGCCGCGGCCGGCAGUGUAGACAGGGCAGGUCCCCGGCGCCCGAAGGCCUCCCCAGGGCCUCCGUGCGGCGGCCGGCAGUGUGGACAGAGUAGGUCUCCGGCCCCCGAAGCCCUCCUCGGGGCCUCCGUGCGGCGGCCGGCAGUGUGGACAUGUCAGGUCCCCGGCGCCCCUCCCUGGGGCCUCCGUGCCGCUGCCGGCAGUGUGGACAUGUCAGGUCCCCGGCGCCAGAAGCCUUUGUCUCCUCGCGCGGCUCUGCGCUUUCGCUCUGACUGGGGACCUGUUGGACCGUGGGCCCCGAACCCACCCGCUGGGCAGAGGGAGCGGGGCGGCCGCCCCUCGUGCUGUGACUCCGCUCUACGGAGGCCCCGAGUCUUAGAUCUGCCGGAAUGACUUCAUUACCACGUUGUCACCCACUCCCCCUCCCCAGUCUGGGCUGGGGAUUUCUGAGGGGGCGACGGCAGCUUUUGGAGAAGGGAAUAUCCACCUUGGAGAUUCUACGGCCCCGCCUUCAUUCACCGUUGGGGAAACUGGGUCCCAAAGAGCCGAUAUAUCCCCCACCCCCAACCUACCUGAGGUCGCAAGGCUUCCAGACCCUCUCAGCAGGCCACACCCUGGAGGCCGGGUUGAGGGCGGGGAUCAAUUUGCAUCCUCUUUUUUGUGGGGGGCAGGCUGCCCUGGAACGAAGCUUUGCUCACAAGUGCUCACAAGUUGGGGUGAGGGUGGUGGGCAUGAAGGUGAGGUGUCUACAACACAGAGCUGGACGGGGACAUAGGUUUCUCUGGUCUCUUCUGAAAAGGUGUCACUAAGGAGUUUUGAGCAGAAAUGGAAGGAUCCUCAUUCCUCCAUUUAGCAAACGUUGGUUGAGCACCUACUCUGUGCCCGGCUGCAUGCCUGCCAGGCAGGCUGCUUGUCACCUGGCACAGAGUGUCUGAAAUGGGAGGGGUCUGAGCGACCAUCUGCUCCAGGCCCCUCUGCCCUGUUUGCUCAGCCUCUCCUGGCACCCCUCCCCACUCCCCUGUCAGCCCAUUCCUGUGUCCUCUGAGCAUCCUCUGCCCUGUUAGACAGUCCCUGCCCCGAAGGGCCUGCAGCGCCCCAUAAGAACAGUAAUCAUUUGCCCUGGCACCUGGCGUUCCCUGAGCACUCAGUGUGUGCCAGGUGCUCUGUGCAGGCGCCCUCCAUCUGAUACUGACUUUGCCCGAGAGGAGUGUGAUCUGUUUGACUGACGAGGAGCCUGAUGUCCAGAGAGGCCCAGGGACAGCCUGCGAGGAAGCCGUACCACUGGGGCUGACCAUGGUCAGGGCGACCCCGGGGCCUGGCCGCCAGAUAAUCCCUGACCCGGAUAAUCCCAGCCAGGCCGCGUUGCGCCUGCUGUUGUGCUGCAUCUGGGGAGGAGAGCUGCGCCUGCUAGGCCAGGGACGCAGGCCGAUGGUCACGCUGUUGCUGCGUGCCUCCUCCUCACCUCUAGUUGCCCUUCACACAUAAGGCCUCCCCAUCCUACCACCCCUGGCCCCUCAGAACUCAGUCCCUGUCGUGCUCUGGUGCUCUGAGCUUUUAUCCCUGCUGUUUGCUUCUCCUGGGAGGCCACCUGCCCAGCACACUCACCGGCCCUGCAGACAGCUGCAGGUCUGUGUUCGGGCCUCAGCGCUGAUGCUGCCACCCGGGGACGCUUCCUCCGGCCCCCGUCCUGCUGUCUGGGUGCUCAUGUCCAGUGGGUCAUUGGACUGCCGUGGCCCUGUGAUGCUGUCUCCUCAGUUAGCAGGCGACCCCUCCAAGGCCUUGCCCACAUCUGGGACCCCCCACCCCCAGUGCCCAGCACGCAGCACAUGCAGAGCAGGUGUCCGGUGCUCGUUCAGCAAAAGAAGGAAAGGAUUACUCUCUGGACUGGGGAGUGAAGGGCGUGGAUGGCAAGGAGGUUAGGGUCUUCAACUCGUAGAAGGGCUCAUGUUGCCCGUCUCUUUCAGUUUUCGGACGAGAGACGUGAUGUUCAGAGAGGGGCAAGCUAAACAGUGACUUCAUGCCCAGGCAGAGUUAGGGACGACUAGCCUGAGCGCCUGGGCAUGAGCCAGAUCGCUUCCCCAGAGCACUGUGAACAUCCAGUUGCUCGUGUCAUCCUCUCUUCUCCACUUUGCAGCUGGGACAACCUGUUGCAGUUACGAAAUAACUUAAAUCUCCCAGAUUGUUGUUGACUCAACCCUUAGGCUGUUCAGAACCAUGCCGUGCCCUCUGAGGUUGUUUUGAAGGAAACUGCCUGUGCUUCCAGGGAACUUGUGGGCCAAGCUGGCGGCUGGGGUAGCUUGUGCAAGCACCAAGAAUCUCUGAGCUGGGAAGAGUGAGGUGGUCCAAUGCCCAGAUUUUGUGUGAUGCCGACAUCUGGACCAAAGGUGGAAAUAGCCUGAUGCUUCCUCUUGGGACUGGGCCUUCUGAUGGGCCGUGGACGUCCAGCCUGUGUGGACAGGCUCCCUUUAACACGGGCGUCAUGCCGCUGGCCUGUGGUCAAGUCAUAUGGACACAACCUGGGUGUGAACUGUGGAGGGGCGCUGUGAGGGGAGGGGCCUCCUCAUGCUGCCUUUUAUGGUGCCCUGCCUAGGCUGAGCGUUAUAUAUUUUUUAAAUUUUAUUUUAUUGGCUUUUUUUUUUUUUUUUCAAUUUUUUAUGGCCAAAGGCAGCCUGUGAAAUCUUAAUUCCCCAACCAGGAAUUGAACCCACACCCUCAGCGUGAGAGUGCAGAGUCCUAACCCCUGGACCACCAGGAAGUCCCCAGGGCUGAGCAUUUUGAAGCUGCUGGUUCCUGGGCUCUCACCCCUGUUUAGGUGGCCUAGGAGCUUUCUCUUUCUCUGGAGUGCUGCGGUACCAAACGGAGUACUUCCCUUUCACCAUGUCCUUUUAUUCUCAAAUUGCUUCUCUUAAGGUGGGGAUUAUUAAACUCUUCUCUUUGUCCUGGUGGAGAAACACAGGUUCGGCGGUGAAGUGACGUACCCCAGUCCCGUGGCUAGGAAGUGGCAAAAGAAUCUGCCUGAACCCCAGCUCUUAGCAGAGGUGAAGGCCCACACCUGUCCUCAGGUGCACGUGACCCGAUGUAGGCCUGCGUAGCUGCCUGCCGCCAGGUGGCCUGGGGGCGGGCCCAGGUCGAGGUGGGAGAGGUGGUGAGGGGCACAAAGAGGGGACCCCUGUCCGCUGACCAGGACGGGGCGGGGUCAUGCCUCUGAGAGGGGGUCCUGAGGCGGGCAGAACUUGCCAGGCCGGAGCGGGGAGGCUUGAAGGGCGGCCUCGGGAGUUGAGGCUGGAGCGGCGUUUGGGGCUCCGGGUGCCCGGCUGGGACUUGGGUGCUCCCGGGGCCUGCCCUCAGGCCGCUGUGUGGGUGUUUGACUUGAGGACCAGCUGGCACUUAGAGAAGCUGUUGGUCCUGGGGGUGGGGGCUCAGCCCGUCUGCCAUGUGCCGGCUUCGCUGGGCCUUCGCUUCUGUACCUGUGGAGGCAGCUUCUGCUGUUACCCCAGAGGAGGGAACCAGGCUUCAGAGAGGAAAGUGAUUCCCCCAGGGUCACGCAGCUGGGAGCUAGCAGGGCUGGGGUUCUCGGGGUUCCAGCCAAGGCCGGUCAGGCGCCAGGAGCCAUCCUGCAGAGGGUUGAUGGAAUGAGGCCGACAGAGGGCUAAGGGGGCAGUUGCCUUCCCGCGGGCCUCGCCUCUGCGCCGAGCACCUGCACCCGCCACCGCCCCGUGCGUCGGGAAGGUCCUUGCACGCUCCGCUGAGCCUCUGUCUGGCUCUGCGCUGUGUAGCUGGGGCGUCAUGUCGGGCAGGGGAUGUCCUUGGGAGGUGUGGCUGGAGUGGAAGACCUGGGGCCUGUGCCUGCCACCCCUGGGGGCCUCCAUGUCCUCAUCCAUGAAGUGGGGAUGUCAGGGUCCGGAGGGUCGAGGGAAUCGUCAGGGAAAGGACAGGCACAGCCUCACGGGGCGGCGUAGGGCCACAGAAGCCGCGGCAGGACCAGGCCCCGCGCCGCCCCAGCACAGGCUGGCCCUCGGUGCCGCCGUCGUUAUAAUGGGCACAGACCUCUGGCUGUGGAGUUGGGGAGGGACCCGAGCUCCGCAGAUGAUGGCUUCGCCGUAGCUGUGGCUGGUUUUCCGGGGAUCCCUGGGGCCCCCCCAGCGCUGGGGCUGGCUGAGUUGGCCGUGGGCCAGUGCGCGGGGAGGAAGUAUGGCUGUUGGAAUGGCAGGGGGGCCUCUCAGUUCCUGCGCCUAUUUUUAAGGCCUGUGGGUUCCGGCCUCCACCGUUUCUGGGGCUGCUGGUGGGUCCUCUCUCAAGGUCGGGGCGCUGCGUCCUUUCAGAGAGCACUGAGGACACGGGCCUUCACUCUCUAAGGAGACUGAGGCUCGGGGCUGCAGAGAUUCUUGGCAGAGCCAGAGGGUGGUCAGCUGUGUUGGCACCCACCGCCCUCCUCUGCCCUGGGCUGGAGUGACUGCUGUGCCCCUGCCCUGAGGCCUUGCUCAAGGUGCACCCCCUCCUUGAGGCAGUGGCUCCUCAUUUACAUCUGCCUCAAAUACCAGCCAAGCCACCAGGCCCCUGAAGAGAAGCCCAGGGUGGGACACUUGUUUAAAAAAAAAACAAAAACAGCCUCAAAAACCCCCAAACAAAAUUUUUUUUCCAAUUAAAAAAUGUUACAUGCACAAUAUAGAAACUGGAAAAUAUAAGAGAAUGGAAAAAAAAUUACUCAUAGUUCCAGUUAUGCAGAGACACAUGGCAUCACCGACUCAAUAGACAUGAGUUUGAGCAAACUCCGGGAGCUGUUGAUGGACAGGGCUGAACUGAACUUAACUGACACUAUUAACUUUGCAAAGUCUCCAUUUCCAAGCUUUUUGAAGCCCCUUAACAGAUACUUGACAUUCUACACAUAAAGUUUCUUCAUCAUGCUUUCUCACUUAAAAUUCCUAAAACAUUUUCCAUGCUGUUCAGACUCGAAGCAUUAUUUAAAUGACUGCAGGGCAGUUGAGUGGAUGUGCCAUAAUUUACUUAAUUGGUCUUGUCUUGUGGGAAACUUAGUUUGGAUCCAGUUUUUCUCUUCUAUAAACAGCUUGCCACAAGCCUCUUCAUCUGUGCAGAGCUUUCUGCAAGCGGAGGAUUUCUUUGGGCCCCCAGCCCAGGGGGCUGUUUCUUAGAGGUUGCUGUCUGACCCCCGAGGGCCGGACUGAGACCAUGCAUGGAUAUGGCAGGUGGCAGACAGAUGUUUACCAAACUCACAGAGGACUUUCUGAAUUGCCGGGGCAGAACGCUUCCAGGGCAGAUGGUAGUGGCAGGUGGGCGGAGAGGGUGAUGGUUCAUGCUGCCGCCGCGUUCCACCCAGCCCCUUCCCAGACCAGCCCAGACCCUUGCUGGGUCCCCAGCCCCUAGUACCGACUGCCCUCGGCCAUCGGACACCAUCUCCCCUCCAGGGGUGUGUUGCAGGUACCUGCCCCUCAGCCUGGCCAGGCCUGGGUGGGGGUCAGCCCUUCCUGGCACCCCCGCUUCCCGUGGCCGAGUUCUGCCCGCCCCGGACCAUCCCUCACCCCGACCUCGGGUCCCCCUUGGGCUGCACUGCAUCCCCGUGGCUGCCACCCCCGACCGUGUCCUUCUCGACCGUGUCAUUCUCUGCCGCUCACGCCCUGCAAGACUCCUCGAGGCAGCCAAGUCAGAGUGCAAGACCCUUUGUGACCUGGGCCCGCUCGCAGCUGCGCCCCCGUCCGUCCCAUGGUCCUGGGACACUCAGUCACCAGUGCACACGCCUCUGACACUAAGCCACCGAGCUUCGAGGAGGACCGUGCUGCUGUGGUUCAAGACGAGGGAAAUGAAACGGAGAAGCAGACGCAGGAGGAACCAUGAAGCCCUCCUCAAGGCGGACGUAAGAACCAGGCCACCCCACCACCCAGAGCUGCCGUGUCACGCUUGGGGCGGUAGGCUUCACACCCGGCGAGCCCCCCAGCUCUGUCUACAGGUCCGUCCUUCUGAUCCCUAGCAUGUGGAGGCUGGUGCCGCCUCAGGUGGUCCCCAAGGCUGUGCCCCCACUUCCAGGAGGUGGGGCCCUGGGUUUCAGGCUUCCCCCUGACCUGUGGAGGAGGGAGCUGCCCCCUGAGCAGGGCUGCUCAGCUCCUGGGAGUCCUUGUCCCACCCUGCCUCCCUGCAGCAGACCGCGAGGAGUCAAGGGGUCAGCCUAGACCUGAGAGGCUGUGCAGGGAGCGGAGUGGGGAUGAGGUCAUCCCAGUCUGUGUCAGGAGCCCCUCUCCAAGUCUGGGGAGGCCGCUUCCCUCCCCAGAGCAGCCACCGCUCCGUCACUGCGAGCCCAGCCCUGGAUCAUCCCCAUAGCAGCCCGUGGCGAAGGGGAUGUCACCCCUGCUGGCAGACGAAGGUGAUGGGGCUCAGCGAGACGGAGGCCCCUGGUCAGGGUCCCAAGUAAUCCGUGCGGGUUCUGCACCCAGGCCUCCUGGGCUCGAGGCUGUCUGUGCCUGUCCCACGCGGAUAUCCAUUUCUCCAAAGGCAUUUGUGCCUUUUCUUCCCUGUGGCCUCGCCCGGGUCUAGUGUUUUAAGAAGAAGCCCGGCCGCUGCUUUUCACAGCGAAGGACCUCUUAGAAGAAGCGAGAGUGAAGGAGGGAAAUGAAAGAGGAGGACUGCCUGGGAGGGGGCAUUCUUGGGGAGGAAGCCAUGGGGCUGAGCGCUGGAACUGCACAAGGCCGCCCCCACCCCCCCGCCGCAGGCCUCAGACCCUGGGAAGGAGGAGAAAUGAGAGGGGCCGCCCUUGGGGGAGGGGGAGGCGUGUUUGGGGAGCUCUGUGGGCGACACUGAAGGUAGGGCCCCUGAAGCGCCCUGUCUGUUGGCUCUGCCCCCGGCCUGGUCAGGGAGGUGGGCAGGCCUCGAGCCCUAGCUCUCCUAGCUUCCUGCAGCGAGAAGUCGCUCAGUUGUGUCCGACUCUUUGCGACCCCGUGGACUGUAGCCUAUCAGGCUCCUCCCUCCAU